rnacentral:rRNA from 1 species
CGGGUAGAGUAACACGUAAACAACCUGCCUUCAGGAUGGGGACAACAGACGGAAACGACUGCUAAUACCGAAUAAGUUCCAAGAGCCGCAUGGCCCAUGGAAGAAAAGGUGGCCUCUACCUGUAAGCUAUCGCCUGAAGAGGGGUUUGCGUCUGAUUAGCUGGUUGGAGGGGGUAACGGCCCACCAAGGCGACGAUCAGUAGCCGGUCUGAGAGGAUGAACGGCCACACUGGAACUGAGACACGGUCCAAACUCCUACGGGAGGCAGCAUG